UUUACGGAGAGUUUGAUCCUGGCUCAGGACGAACGCUGGCGGCGUGCUUAACACAUGCAAGUCGAACGAUGAUGCCCAGCUUGCUGGGUGGAUUAGUGGCGAACGGGUGAGUAACACGUGAGUAACCUGCCCCUGACUCUGGGAUAAGCGUUGGAAACGACGUCUAAUACUGGAUAUGAUCACUGGCCGCAUGGUCUGGUGGUGGAAAGAUUUUUUGGUUGGGGAUGGACUCGCGGCCUAUCAGCUUGUUGGUGAGGUAAUGGCUCACCAAGGCGACGACGGGUAGCCGGCCUGAGAGGGUGACCGGCCACACUGGGACUGAGACACGGCCCAGACUCCUACGGGAGGCAGCAGUGGGGAAUAUUGCACAAUGGGCGAAAGCCUGAUGCAGCAACGCCGCGUGAGGGAUGACGGCCUUCGGGUUGUAAACCUCUUUUAGUAGGGAAGAAGCGAGAGUGACGGUACCUGCAGAAAAAGCACCGGCUAACUACGUGCCAGCAGCCGCGGUAAUACGUAGGGUGCAAGCGUUGUCCGGAAUUAUUGGGCGUAAAGAGCUCGUAGGCGGUUUGUCGCGUCUGCUGUGAAAUCCCGAGGCUCAACCUCGGGCUUGCAGUGGGUACGGGCAGACUAGAGUGCGGUAGGGGAGAUUGGAAUUCCUGGUGUAGCGGUGGAAUGCGCAGAUAUCAGGAGGAACACCGAUGGCGAAGGCAGAUCUCUGGGCCGUAACUGACGCUGAGGAGCGAAAGCGUGGGGAGCGAACAGGAUUAGAUACCCUGGUAGUCCACGCCGUAAACGUUGGGCGCUAGAUGUAGGGACCUUUCCACGGUUUCUGUGUCGUAGCUAACGCAUUAAGCGCCCCGCCUGGGGAGUACGGCCGCAAGGCUAAAACUCAAAGGAAUUGACGGGGGCCCGCACAAGCGGCGGAGCAUGCGGAUUAAUUCGAUGCAACGCGAAGAACCUUACCAAGGCUUGACAUACACCGGAAACGGCCAGAGAUGGUCGCCCCCUUGUGGUCGGUGUACAGGUGGUGCAUGGUUGUCGUCAGCUCGUGUCGUGAGAUGUUGGGUUAAGUCCCGCAACGAGCGCAACCCUCGUUCUAUGUUGCCAGCGCGUUAUGGCGGGGACUCAUAGGAGACUGCCGGGGUCAACUCGGAGGAAGGUGGGGAUGACGUCAAAUCAUCAUGCCCCUUAUGUCUUGGGCUUCACGCAUGCUACAAUGGCCGGUACAAAGGGCUGCGAUACCGUAAGGUGGAGCGAAUCCCAAAAAGCCGGUCUCAGUUCGGAUUGAGGUCUGCAACUCGACCUCAUGAAGUCGGAGUCGCUAGUAAUCGCAGAUCAGCAACGCUGCGGUGAAUACGUUCCCGGGCCUUGUACACACCGCCCGUCAAGUCAUGAAAGUCGGUAACACCCGAAGCCGGUGGCCUAACCCUUGUGGAAGGAGCCGUCGAAGGUGGGAUCGGUGAUUAGGACUAAGUCGUAACAAGGUAGCCGUACCGGAAGGUGCGGCUGGAUCACCUCCUUU
rnacentral:rRNA from 1 species